rnacentral:rRNA from 1 species
AGUGAACGCUGGCGGCGUGCUUAACACAUGCAAGUCGAACGGUGACCUUGGGAGCUUGCUCCUGGGUGAUCAGUGGCGAACGGGUGAGUAACACGUGAGUAACCUGCCCCUGACUCUGGAAUAACUUCGGGAAACCGAAGCUAAUACCGGAUAUGACACAGAGCCGCAUGGUUUCUGUGUGGAAAGUUUUUUCGGUUGGGGAUGGACUCGUGGCCUAUCAGCUUGUUGGUGAGGUAAUGGCUCACCAAGGCGACGACGGGUAGCCGGCCUGGGAAGGCGACCGUCCACCCGGGGACUGAGGAACGGCCCAGACUCCUACGGGAGGCAGCAGUGGGGAAUAUUGCACAAUGGGCGAAAGCCUGAUGCAGCGACGCCGCGUGAGGGAUGAAGGCCUUCGGGUUGUAAACCUCUGUCAGUAGGGAAGAAGCGCAAGUGACGGUACCUACAGAAGAAGCACCGGCUAACUACGUGCCAGCCGCCGCCGUAAGAC